ensembl:lncRNA
GUUUAAAUUGCACACACGCAGCUGCCUUGCUGUAGUGUUACAGAUGUGAUACUGGUAUCCCAUGUGAGCCGGCUGGGUGUGCUGAGCCUGGUCCACCCCUCUGCUUUGGGAUUUUCAAAUCCAGAGUGAUUGUUUAAAUUCUCAUUAUUACAGACUGAAGUACGGGCUUCUAGUUUCCCAAUUGAGUGACUCUUCACUGAGGUCUGAAAGCAGGCCCCAGGCUUUAGCUGUAGCAGCUAAUCCUUGCUACUGAAUAAUGGGUGACUUUACAUAGCAAAUAUGUUACAAGAUCUGAGGUCAGUGGAUGGGAAUGAAGAGCCAGAAAGAAGGUUUAUCACUUCUCUCUGCUUCCCAUGACAAGCCAAGUAGCAGGAGCCAAAUUUGAGCACCAUUACAGAGCAUGUACCAUAGUACUCACUUUCUGGUGAGUUACUGCUGUCAAAGUUCACAGUGCAGUAUUUUCAAGGAGUUUUUAGCUGUGGGAAUCAGACUAGUAGAUGUGGCCUUUCUGUUUUUAGACUUAAUUAGUUGGUGUGCAUUUACUUUUGCAGUCUUCUGGUACUGGAUGAAAAUGCAGGCAUGGUGCAGCAAAACACCAUGCUUGGGGUAUUUCUUCCCUUCAAAUAAUCAUUCUCCUGUUUGCCAGCAGCACUGUUUACAGCCUGAAGAUUGCAGACAGAUGUGUUCAUUCAGUGUGAAUUUCCAGGCAGUUUUCAACCUUUCCUUUAUUUUGAAGUGCCAUGGGAAAAAUAAUCCCUGUUUUUGUAUGCUGGUUUUCAUGUAUGCAGUUGCAAAUGUUGGGAGCCAAGAAUGCGAAGGAUCCAAACCUACAGUAAGUAGGUCAAUCUUGAAAUGCUGUCACGUGUUUGGGCUUUUGCUUUUUUUUUUUUCCCCUUUGGUGAGGCAGCAGAACGUAAGGGUUGAGUUAAGAGGCAGAAAACAGAAGUGCAACUGAGUCCUAUCUCCAGUUUUUUCUCAUUAGCGUCUAGAAAAUGAUAGACCUCAAAGUGACAUUCAUUAAGGAUGAGCUAACAAGCAAGUUCCAGUUGUGAGCCAGGUUCUAUACUGCUUACCUGUUGCAUUCUGAAACUACCACUGUUUUAUUCCAACAUAUUCAGGCAAGUGUGUUCCAGGACCUGAGUCAUGGUAUCCCAGGGAAGCCCGAGUGUUCCAUGCACAGGCCGAUCCCACGACCCCUGAGGAUGUCGGCACCGAUGGGAACGCAUCGCAGCCCUCCCCAGCAGCAGUCCCCACAGGGGCGCUCCCUGUGCACCUCAGAGGAGCCAAUGCUGUAAAUCCCAUCCUGGUGGUCUGUUGUCACACCUUGCCCCUGGGAUGAGGGUCUGUGAGAGGAUGCUGGAGCCCUGAUCCUGACACAGCGGUAACUGCACUGCAGGACAUGCUGAGCCCCGGAAAUUUGGGCUGGAAGGGCUCUUUGGGACUCUGCUCAGAGGCACUUGCAAGAUUCACAGACUGAUUGGAGGACAGCCCACCUCUGACCAUCUCUGUGUUUAUAAAUCCUGUUUGGACUAACGUGAUAUUCAGGGGAACGCAGGUCUUGACCACACACACUGUCAGUACAGGACCUUGGACUUGAACUUUGUGCCUCGGACUUCAGCUUUGUGAGCCCUCAGACAGCCCUUCUGCAGCUGCAUCAGGCCACACACAGUCACAGCUCUCAGCUGGGAGACGACAGGCACAAAGCUGGCACUGGCUCUGUGAUUACUUCUCUGCAAAGUCAAACAGGGCCAAAAAUAAAUGCUAGUGAAGGAAUAAACAGACGUGAAAAGAAGGCUUGGACACUUAGAGGACAAGACUGCUUUGUGUUUCCCAAAGCAAUAAGCCUCUUCACAAGGAGGUUACUCUUUCAGAAAAACACGGGUCCUGUGACACUGCCAAGGUCAGUAGGUGCCCAGCAGAGCAGGGAGCAUUCAAGGCAGACAUGGUUUGGGAAAGGGGCAUAUUUGCUCCCAUUGAAAGAGAGGAGAGAGGAGAGAAAUUUACAUUGCUCUGCCAUUUCAGCUCUUUCUACAGGGUUUGAACACGCACCAGUUUGGCAGCAGAAGGCAGCUUCCACCUAUCUCAGAUGGCAACGUAGCCCCAGCACUGUGGCUGUAUCACUCGCAUGCUGGCUUGGGAAGAGGGCAGUGCUGCUGCAGUUCUGCAGCUGAGGAGGCAGAAGUCCCUUGUGGACGUGGCUCUCUUCUUGUGCUGGUGCUGUACGAGCACUCUAAGCUAGGCCUCUGCUACCUGUCGGCGUGUCUCGGACCGGUCAGCUGCAGUCUGGAUGGGCUUUGCUUUCUGCAGGAAAUAGGCAGAAUUCAAAGCAAAUAGCUUGGUACAGACACCUUGCUUUCUGGUAAGCAAAAUUGGUUAGCAAAGUGCUGCAGUGAUCUCAGUGGGGGUAGGAAGCUUUGGACUUCACUUUAGGGACUUAACUCAUUCUCCAUCCAGUGCAGUAUCUUUUGAAAUGUGACUUUUUAGGCUCUUUAUUGUCUCAGUUGGCUACAGAAUGAAAAUGCUGGGUAAUAUUGAGCAAUGAUAAGAUGAUACAGAGUCUGUCUCCUGCACAAAGGGAAGUGCAGUUCUUUCGCUGUCUCUAAAGCACCAAGUUGUGAGUCAGCCAAAGCAUCUGAGGACUCUGGGUAAGAAACAUGAGCUUUUAAAGGCACCUCAUUAGGACUGAAUCUUCAGCACCGUCUGUAGUGACACACCAAAACAUACUCAUCUCAAAGAGAGCAAAUGUUGAGAAGUUAAGGGAGCUAAUUAGUGGAAUCAGCUGCACUGCAGAUCUGAGGAAUUGAAUGUGAUGGAACUUGGAUUCCAAAACCAGCUGAAACAUGCAGGAAGAUGAACCCUGACAGGAAAUGCUCCAACCCCAGUGGGAUAAAUAACCAGCCCCAAACACGUGGAGAGCAUUAACUGACAUGCAGAAGUUCUGAUUGGCAUGAGGGUAUUCUGCUGGCAUGCAGCUAGGGAUUGAAAUCAGAUGUCUGGAGAGGAACUGCUACAGAAUACGAUGCUCUGCUCUGCUCUGCUCUUUGAUGGAGGCCAUCACUCUUAUCACAGGGCUGACAAAGCAGCUUACCCUGCAGGUCCUGAACAGCCACCACUCCAGUGACGUGUUCAGUGCAGCAGUUCUGGACCUGCCUUAUGAGUUACUGCCACUGCCACAAGGAUGGCAUUGGAGAAGAGUGGUGGAGCAGAAGACUGAAGGCAGUAUUUGCCUCAGUCAUCCAAUUUGAAGCUGCUGGGAUGGGAAAGGCAGAGACAGGAUGAAAAAUGUCAAAAGUGAACUUGUGAAUUGGACUUGAAAAGGAAAUUAGAACAGAUGGCAGAGGGUUUCAGUUAGAGAAAUAAAAAGAGGAGAAACGUGGUCAUUAUGGAGUGAGAAUGGGGUUGAGAUUAAGACCCAUCCACAUAUGGUCUAAAAAUGAAUUAAAAACACUUUGUCCACAUUUUCAGUAGAGAUGAUCGUAUUGAGCAGCGUGACAAAGACAAGAUUUCUAGUGGGAAUAUACAUAAGGGAAUGAAAAUUAUCACAUGUAAGGUGGAAGGAAAAGCAUGAAGAAUUCGGUGUGCUCAGGUGAAGGUGCACUGGCAGAUUUCCAUCCCAGGAUUUGGCACAUUAAAUGAGUUCAGCUUAACCUGAUAUUUCUCUUUGAUGACUGAUUAUUUUUUUAGGCAAAUGAAAUACAGGUGAUUUACUCUAUCCAGACUUGAGCGAAGAAUCUGAUAUUAUACCACAGGGGAAAUUACUCGUUGAAGUUGAGAUGAUGGGGAUUAGUGUGGAUGGUGAAUGCAAACCUGUUAAAGUGCAGAGGAAAGGGGAGCUCUGAGCAGAGAAGAAAUGCCAGACAGAGGCAGUCAGUAAGUGGAACUCCUCAGGAGUCAGUGUUGAGCUCACUCUUGCUUCUUUCAUUAACGAGUCUGGCACAGCAGUAGGAAUGUAGUAAAGAAAUCUGCUGAGGACACGGGCUUUGUUAAUACAGAGGAUGAUCGGAACAUCAAUCAGCAAUGAGUGAAUGACAGAAUUCAUCUGAAAUAGAAUAGAGAAAGUAUUAAGACAUGCAUUUAGAAAUUAAUAACUAGAAUAUCAUAUUACUCACUUGAAGAUGACAAAGGCAGGGGGGUGGAAAAAAAACCACAGAGAAUAAUUCGCUCCCAGGGAUGACUGUGAGCCACCAAUCUGAUAUGGAGAAGCAAACACAAUCCUAGAAGGUACAGGUUCACUCAUGUUCGAGGAAGAUUAGCAGGUACAGAGAAGGGCAUUGAGGAUGAUCAGAGGGUUUGGAACAAGAGGAGACUAGAAGAGUUUCAUUUGUUUAGUUUUUCAAAACAAAGGCUAGAGGAGAUAGGAUUGUUUUCAGUAAAUAUAUCUGAUAGGUAAAGAUCAGAGAAAAAAGAGAAUUGUUUAAACUACAUUAUGAUGCUGGCACAAGAACAAAUGAUAUUAAGGCUGAAAAUUUUAAAUGAAGUGCUGGGACAACCUGCCAAAAAGCACGAUAUGAUGUAAUUGAAUGUAACAGUAGGAGGCUGGAUCAGUAAUCCAGAGCCCUGUGUUCCUAGAUAACUUCUUUUUUGGGAAGGGAAUUAGCCACAGCAGCUAAAUGCAGGGAAUGGAAAGAACAGCCCGGACCAACACCACAAAGGUGUUCCCAGUGAUGGAGCAGUGCGGUGUGUGGUGCCUAUAUGGAGUGGUUUCUUUCUUAGUAAGAAGACCAGGCCGCAGUGUGUGCUGCUGUACAGCUAAGUGCCAGCUGUACCAGAAAAGCAGUGUCACUAAAACAUUUCGCUGUGGGUUUGAGCUCUUGCUUUUUACCCACAGUGUGACCGUCUUUCACCUCCCAAACCUAAAUAUACAUGGCUGAAAGCACACCUUCAGGAAUGGCUGUCCCAGCACUGCCAGUGGCUCGCAGGCUGUGCAGAGGCUGGAAGCAGGCAGUGUGCUCGGCUCCCCGCUCUGUCCCCUGGAGCUUUCCUUUUCUGAUGCCCUGUUAGGCAGAAUGCCCACUCACGGGGAAUAAUGCAGUACCUCUUUGAAGAGAAGCAGUAAAAAGGCUUUUGGCAAAGCGGCCUCUAACCGGCACCUCUUAAAUGAAGCUGGCUGACAUACACGCAUGCUGCAGUGAUGCCCCUGCAGUGGGAAGAGCCCCCUGACCUCAGGGCACGGGACCUGCUGGUCCUGCAGCCCCUCUGGUGCAGGGGCUGAGCAGCAGCUGGUGCCGG